AACGCACCUUGCGCUCUAUGGCAAUCCGUAGAGCAUGCCUGUUUGAGUGCCAUGAAAUCUCCCACCCCAAGCGGUUUUUACAUGAAACGGCUUGGCGGAUGGGGUCUGGAUGGGUGCCUCUGCCUGCGCUACCUAGCACAGGCUCGCCCGAAAUGCAUGAGCGCCUUGAGACACUUUGCAUCCGCCUCUCUGUUUGGGAGGAGGCGGCCAAGCAGUGUUUUUCUCCUGGCAUGGCAUGAUACGUCAUUUGCUAUGUCACCUAAAGGAGGAAUGUUUGGUUGUGUCUGCGUGUGCUUCAAACUUGCCUCUGUGGCACAUCCCAAUUUCACUUCUGGUCUCAAAUCAGGUAGGAUCACCCGCUGAACUUAA
rnacentral:misc_RNA from 1 species